UACGGGGGGUGCAAGCGUUAUCCGGAUUCACUGGGUUUAAAGGGUGCGUAGGUGGGGCGGUAAGUCAGUGGUGAAAUCCCCGAGCUUAACUUGGGAACUGCCAUUGAUACUAUCUCUCUUGAAUAUCUUGGAGGUGAGCGGAAUAUGUCAUGUAGCGGUGAAAUGCUUAGAUAUGACAUAGAACACCAAUUGCGAAGGCAGCUCACUACACGAUUAUUGACACUGAUGCACGAAAGCGUGGGGAUCAAACAGG
rnacentral:misc_RNA from 1 species